UCGGCUAACUCCGUGCCAGCAGCCGCGGUAAUACGGGGGAUGCAGCGUUAUCCGGAAUCAUUGGGCGUAAAGCGCCUGUAGGUUGUUUAAUAAGUCUGUUGUUAAAGACUAGGGCUUAACCCUAGGAAAGCAAUGGAAACUACUAGACUAGAGUAUGAUAGGGGUAGAGGGAAUUUCUAGUGUAGCGGUGAAAUGCGUAGAUAUUAGAAAGAACACCGGUGGCGAAGGCGCUCUACUGGAUCAUUACUGACACUCAGAGGCGAAAGCUAGGGUAGCAAAAGGGAUUAGAUACCCCUGUAGUCCUAGCCGUAAACGAUGGAUACUACAUGUUGCGUUUAUUAUGCAGUAUGGUAGCUAACGCGUUAAGUAUCCCGCCUGGGGAGUACGCUCGCAAGGGUGAAACUCAAAGGAAUUGACGGGGGCCCGCACAAGCGGUGGAGCAUGUGGUUUAAUUCGAUGCAACGCGAAGAACCUUACCAAGGCUUGACAUACUACAGAUUCUUUUGAGAGAGAGAAGUGCCUUCGGGAAUGUAGAUACAGGUGGUGCAUGGCUGUCGUCAGCUCGUGUCGUGAGAUGUUGGGUUAAGUCCCGCAACGAGCGCAACCCUCGUUUUUAGUUGCCAUUUUAUGGGUUCUCUAGAAAGACUGCCGGUAACAAACCGGAGGAAGGUGAGGAUGACGUCAAGUCAGCAUGCCCCUUAUGUCCUGGGCCACACACGUGCUACAAUGACAAAGACAAAGAGUUGCAAGUUCGCGAGGAUAAGCUAUCUCAUAACUUUGUCCCWGDUCGGAUUGUAGGCUGCCACUCCNCC
rnacentral:rRNA from 1 species